ensembl:lncRNA
GUUUUGAUCAUUGCAAACUGCUCUGGAACAGCAACUGGGAGCCAUGCAGCAACUGCUCGGGAACGCUUACCAUCACCCUCUCCAUAUUUGGCACUGUGCGCCCACGUGAUGCCGGUCUGAAAGCCCAGCUCGCGGCAGACGACUUUGGCUAGUUUGAUAUCCACUUCGUCAUCACACACCGUCCCCCACGUGCUGUUGUGAAGCACUUCCACGCGACCCUCGUUCAGUCCCCGGGCGAAGUUUCCCGCCAGGCGCACCUUGGAAACCGGAGCGCGCGCGGUCCUGCUGCGUGGUGAGGAUGACGACCAUCGGCGGGGUUCCGAAAGCGCGGAGGAGGAGAGGAAGAGGAGGAGGAGCAGAGAACUCAAGCAGAUGAGGAAGAUGCGAUGCAUCAUGUCUGUGUAUGGAAUAUCGUCCAGGAGAUAGAGAGAGAGAGAAUUGGGCAGUUAACCCACUGUUCCUCGGCCGUCAUUGAAAAUAAUAGAGUGACUGAGUAAGGAGGAUGGACUCACCUGAUAGAAAGCUACAGACACAGCUGUCCUACACGUCCCAGACCGGGAGAGGAGAGAGUGACUGAGUAAGGAGGAUGGACUCACCUGAUAGAAAGCUACAGACACAGCUGUCCUACACGUCCCAGACCGGGAGAGGAGAGAGUGACUGAGUAAGGAGGAUGGACUCACCUGAUAGAAAGCUACAGACACAGCUGUCCUACACGUCCCAGACCGGGAGAGGAGAGAGUGACUGAGUAAGGAAGUGUGCCUGCUAGAUGAGGUCUCUGGUCAAUCUUUCUCUUUCUUCUCCUGCCUCCCUCAUUCCCUCCCACAUUUCUUCUCUCUCUCUUUUUAAGAAUGUUCCUGCUCACUCAAAAAUGCUGACACACACACACACACACACACACAAUUGUUUAAUUGCAUUUUGAUUUAACUAUAAACAUAGUUUGGGGUGUGUGUGCAUUUUAAAUGGUGCUGUUGGGAAAUAAUGAUCUGUUUUCAGAUACUGUCUGUGUAUAAUUUCACUGUUGUACAUAAUCCCACACAUCUCUUGUACCAAUAGAGAUAAAAUGUAGUCACAUGUAACAAAUAAAGUCUCUUCUCACAACCCACUGCAUCUCCUAUAAACUCACAGGGAGACAAAUCUCACUUGAUAGACGGUAAAGUGAUGAAACAGUUCAGUUUGUAUCCUUGAUUUUUCAUGAUCACAUGAAUAAAAGAACAAUCUGCAGUACGGGAGGAGAGUCAACAGUGGGUGGAUCUGAGUAAUCGUUCAAACAAAAACAUCCAGGUUGAAUGACUGUAAAUGAUGUCUUACGUCUUCUUAAUGGGUUCAACUAAUGCAAAAGUAUUCCAUCCUCCAUGUUCUGUAUUGACAGCAUGGUGCUGUUGUCUCUACAGGGAGGAGAGAUAGGAUUCUAUCUUAAUAAUGUCAAAAACAAUCCAAACGUUUUAUCACAGAAACAUAAUGAAAUACUGGGGUAAUACCUUUGACAUGAAAGAAGAAUCAGUGUCUGUCCUUUGAAUUUAUUCAUCAAUUUAACCAUUCAAAUAAUUCAACAUGAGAGCGUAUAUGUCCUGUACAUUCAAGACUGAUUAUGUGUCAUGAAUGAAUGAAUGAAUAAAUGAGUGAAUGAACCUAAUCAUCAAAUCAUUCACAUUUAGAGUCACAUGUUUCUGCUAGUGACACCAUCAAAUUCUCUUCUCUGAUAGGCUGAUGGUUGCCUUUACACAACCUCGGUCCAGAAUGUUUUACACAACAAGUCUUCGAGGAGGCCAACAUUAUGUAAGUCUGUAUGUGUGUGUGUUGUGUAAAUGCUACCAACAGGAAGUUGCUAUGUCAGGAAUAGUUCCAAAAUGUCAAGUUCCAAGUAUCCCAAAGAAGCUGCGUAAACCACAGGGUAUAUAUUUCCUUGUUGAGCCCAACCGCAAACCAGCGUUUUAAAAUAGGCCCAGCCUCCUUGUCUCUCUCUCUCUGCUAGUGUAAGGGUGGUAGUCAGAGAUGGGAGUAUUGAUGAGGGUAUAGCACCAGUGAGGAACGUGUGAUACGUGAGAGGUGGAUUUCUAAGGUCACUUGCCCUCACUUCACUGUUUACCUAAGUGUGGCCGCAAUUUCCUGAUAAAGCAGGAAGAGUAAAAAGCUGUUGUUUGACGCUUUGACUUCAAAUUGCAAGGUUUUGAUAGACAAUUGGAAUCACAGCUGUUGUCUUUUAUACAGUGUAGUAGGCUUAUAUCUUCUGUAUCUAAGACUAUGCAUGUCGUUUCCAAGGGAGACAUCUCCAGGGGAUUGUUCAGUCAAUCAUCAUGUGUCUUUAUACGUUAGGGAUUCUUCUGUUCUUCCCCCAUGAAUGAUACAUUUUCUAGAACUAAUUUGUAUAUUAGCUUUCACCCUUACACUGUAUGACAUACAGCAUGUCUUUAUGGCUUCUAUAUGUAAUACAGCAAGUUAGUCUGUUCUGGGAUCAGUUCAGUGUUCAGUAGAUCACGGUUGUGUUCAUUAGGCCAUUCAAUGGAAAAUGUUUUAAAACGUUUUGCAAUGGAAACAAACUUUUUUUGUGUUUCCUAUU